AUUGAACGCUGGCGGCAUGCCUUACACAUGCAAGUCGAACGGCAGCACGGACUUCGGUCUGGUGGCGAGUGGCGAACGGGUGAGUAAUGUAUCGGAACGUACCUUUCAGUGGGGGAUAACGUAGCGAAAGUUACGCUAAUACCGCAUAUUCUGUGAGCAGGAAAGCGGGGGAUCGAAAGACCUUGCGCUGAUUGAGCGGCCGAUAUCAGAUUAGCUAGUUGGUGGGGUAAAGGCCUACCAAGGCGACGAUCUGUAGCGGGUCUGAGAGGAUGAUCCGCCACACUGGAACUGAGACACGGUCCAGACUCCUACGGGAGGCAGCAGUGGGGAAUUUUGGACAAUGGGGGCAACCCUGAUCCAGCCAUGCCGCGUGAGUGAAGAAGGCCUUCGGGUUGUAAAGCUCUUUCGGCCGGGAAGAAAUCGCAUAGGCUAAUACCCUGUGUGGAUGACGGUACCGGAAUAAGAAGCACCGGCUAACUACGUG
rnacentral:rRNA from 1 species